rnacentral:rRNA from 1 species
AAGUCGUAACAAGGUUUCCGUAGGUGAACCUGCGGAAGGAUCAUUAUUGAAAUUAUCGGUGAGGGUUGCUGCUGGCCUUUCGGGGCAUGUGCGCGCCCGAGCCUUUAAAUCCACAUACACCUGUGAACCCAAUGUAAGGGCCCGUAACAAGGCCCCUACGUCUUUGUCAUCAACCCAUCGCAUGUCUCAUAGAAUGUCAUUCAAUAUCUUCGCCUUAACAAAGCGUCGGUAAACUUAUACAACUUUCAACAACGGAUCUCUUGGCUCUCGCAUCGAUGAAGAACGCAGCGAAAUGCGAUAAGUAAUGUGAAUUGCAGAUUUUCAGUGAAUCAUCGAAUCUUUGAACGCACCUUGCGCCCCUUGGUAUUCCGAGGGGCAUGCCUGUUUGAGUGUCAUUAAAUUCUCAACUCCAUUUGAUUUGUUUCAAACCUGGAGCUUGGACUUGGAGUGUGCUGGCGUUGACCGUCGGCUCCUCUCAAAUGCAUCGGCGGAAUUGAACCUUUGACUUCCGAACGUCAGUGUGAUAAUUAACGUUGCGCUGUCGACNGGNGNNGGAGUCCGCUUACAAUCGUCCUCGGACNNNNNAGGAUUCCCCUAGUACUGCGAGUGAGCGGGAAAAGCUCAAAUUUAAAAUCUGGCGGUCUCACGNCCGUCCGAGUUGUAAUCUGGAGAAGCGUUUAUCCGCGUCNGGACCGUGUACAAGUCUUCUGGAAGGGAGCGUCAUAGAGGGUGAGAAUCCCGUCUUUGACACGGACAGCCGAUGCUUUUGUGAUGCGCUCUCGAAGAGUCGAGUUGUUUGGGAAUGCAGCUCAAAAUGGGUGGUAAAUUCCAUCUAAAGCUAAAUAUUGGCGAGAGACCGAUAGCGAACAAGUACCGUGAGGGAAAGAUGAAAAGCACUUUGGAAAGAGAGUUAAACAGUACGUGAAAUUGUUGAAAGGGAAACGUUUGAAGUCAGUCGCGUCGGCCGAGACUCAACCUUGCUCUUUGCUCGGUGCACUUCUCGGUUGACGGGUCAGCAUCAAUUUUGACCGCCGGAGAAAGGUCGGGGGAACGUGGCAUCUCUCGGGAUGUGUUAUAGACCCUGAUUCGGAUACGGCGAUCGGGAUUGAGGAACUCAGUGUGCCUUUAUGGUCGGGGUAUCAACCCACGUAACAUGCUUAGGAUGCUGGCAUAAUGGCUUUAGGCGACCCGUCUUGAAACACGGACC